AGGGGGACAUGCAGGGGUUGGGGGAGCCCUGGCUCUUCCAUCUGCUCAGAUGCCCUGCUUCCCCAUGCUGGUAACCCACAUUUCUGGGAACAGAGCCAUGGAAUCCAGUGGUGGCUCCAGUGUGUGAAAUGUCACUAGAGUCAGCUGAGCAGACCUGGUCGUUUCUACAGAAAUCCAGCCUGCCCAGCUCAUUUCUUGAUGCCUUGCAGGGCCCCAGGAGACCAGGAGAGGCAGCCCCACAUCCCUCCUCUCUCUAGCCUCCCUGCCUCCACCUCACCCCUUUCCAAGGGGUCCUCUACUUUGGCCACACAUCUGCAGCCCCUUGUCAAAAGAAUCAAUUCUAAACCCACCUUGCCUGAUGUCCAAAGCCCUUGAUAGCCCAGCUUAUCUUGUUGGCCUUCCCUUCGGUCCCCUCCCCGCCCAUGUAUCCUAUUCUCCAGAACAAUAUCCUCCUCCCUGGACACACCAGGCUCUAUUACUCUGUGCUUUCUUUGCAAUUUCCGUCCCCUCUGCCGAGAAAGCCACACUCACCACCCUCCCCAGCGCUCACACUAAACUUGGCCUGUGCCCCUUUCCAACCCUUACAAAUGGAGAGCCAAAGACAAGCUUUGUCCUUAAGGAGGUCACAGUUCUCUGGAAGAAACAGGCCUUUUACAGCCAGAGGUCUUUGGGGGAGCCCAGGAGAGCAAGCCUGAACUUGGCCUCUGGCAAUGUGCACAAGCUCUCUAGAGGAGGUGAUCUGACCAGUAGGUGAAUCUCCAGGGCUUAUAUGGCAGAUAAAGGCAGACAGACAGAGUAAAAGGCCUUGCAAGGCAUGAGUCACCCAUUCAUCUGACCAACACUUAAUUCACAAAUAUAAUAAAAUAUCUGCCCUGUGCACCUUGCUAGGAUGCUGUGAGAAGUAAUAAAUCCAUGAUGGGCUUUGUGCAGAGCUGAGGGACCUGCCAGCAAGUCCUGCCAGACCAUAACGGUACUCCCCACAUGAGGUCCCAGCAGAGGUGGGGCUUAUUUUUAGGCUGCCAGAGGCUCUAAAUCUUGAUUGACAGCAUUGGUGCAACUUGUAACCAGGCUUGAAAAGAAAGCCUCUCACUGGAUGAUUUCUUCCAGGGAGCCUAGCAGUGGGGCCUUGGGCAUCCAUAAGUCCUAUUAUUUUUUGAGUCCUUUCUGUGGCUAGAAUAAAUGUCUUGCAAAUCAAAGAUCUACUUUUUUUUCUAAAAUAUGGAUUAGCACUGGGACCAAUGAAAUAAAAAAGCAUCUUAAAGUAGUGAUGCAUUUGUGUGAGCACAGAGAAAGAUGGGUAAGGGUAUCUGAAACCCAAUACUGCUUAUCUGGAUGAGCGGAGAGGGAAAUGGUUAAAUUUUUUUUACUUAUUAGUUUUUUGUACAACUGAAAAAAAAAUUGUUUUAAGUGUUUCUGAAUUCAAAGGCUUUCUGUCAUUGUGCAUCUAUUUGCUUCAUUAACAAAACACAAAAAGAGAACUAUUAUCAGAUGGGUGGUGUGGUCUGUGAAAAUUUUGGACCAGAAUAAAGGACUUUUGCUAUAGAUAUGAUUCACUGAGGACAGGAAAUCUGUGCCAGGAAAUCAGUGAUCAACUUUUCUGGAGCAUGAUCCUGCCGAAUCUAGGUAAUGAUGUUAUAUGUUGAUAUUAUUAGUGCCCCCAUUUUUGAGAUGAGAAAAUAGAAGGUCAGGGAUUUUAAAGAACUUGCCCAAGGUCACACAGCAAACCAGGGGCGGAGCUGAGGCUGGAACCAACCCAGAGCUCUUUCCUCCAAAGCCAGCCCCCCACCUCAGGUGGGGAGCCAACCUGGGGAGCAUCAGUCAGUGUGAAGAACUAGGUGUUUCAACAAAGCCACUGGCAGAGACCUGACCUUUGGUUUGAACAUAGAUGAGCUGCUUCCCCUGGCAGGGGUUAUGGCAGACAGUAGAGUAGCUAUUUGUCAACAAAGACCUUUGCUCCAGGAUUGGGCUUUGAGUAAUUUAUUAACAUCAGUACAACAUCAGUACUGACCAAGAUAAACAGCCAAGUGGCCACACGUGAAGAGAGAGCCUGGGGGCUGGAGUGCUGGGGAAUGGAGGGGGGAAUCUGGGAGCUCCCAUGGGCUCCCAUCUUUUCCCAUCACUCUCUUAUCCUUCCUGCCUGUGGGCUUCAGUUUCCCCAUGAGUCAAAUGAGCAGAGUGGAGCAGCCUAUCUUUACAUAUCUUUUCUACAGGUAAAGCCCAACACAGAACCUGUCCAAGAUCCCACAACAGGUCUGAACUCGAAGCCAGUAUCUUUUCAAGAGUUCAAAUUUCACUUUCUCAGUGAAAUUGCAACAUUCUCCUACCCUUGAACUCCCCAACCUCUCUCACCCUGCUCUCUUAUUUUUUCCCUAGCUCCUUCCAACACAUUAUACUUAUUAUUUGCUUAUUAAGUGCCUUAUUUAUUGGCUCCUCACUAGAAGCAGCCCCACAAGGACAGGGAUCUUGUCUGUCCUGUAUGUCCCUGCUGUAUUCCCCAUGUCUGGAAUGGGGCCAGCCCACGGCACGUGCUCAGUCCACAUUCGGGAAAUGAAUGAGGAGUGGCAGGUAAGACAGAGCUGCCUGAAGAUGAUGAAAGCUGUAAGCCUACAGCCCCCCAGGUUGCAGGGGCCGAGAGCCUGCAGACUGCACGGCAGGGACAAGGGUCCUUAAUUGCUUCCAGAGGGACAUGGAUACAUGUAUGCACACCACCCAGAAGAAUAUCAACCACCCAACCCGUGGAUCCCUCCUGCUGCCCUCAUGGAAUCCACCUUCAUAACUCACGCUGAGGCCUGCUGCCUGACCUGUGAAAUGAAAUGAGAGGAGCCAGGGACAAAGACAGAUGGGCAGAGGCACGGAGAGAAGAGAAGGCAGGCUCAUAAGUGUAACAGAUGGACAAACCUGCCACCAUCUAUUCUCUGGGACAAACAGAUCAUCACUGAAUAGGCUGCAGAAGAGCAAAGAGACAAAUUACCCAGCUGUGACAGUGUCACCUGUUCCUUAUUGAUGGGCUUUUGUGCUCGGGCCCAGCUGCUUCUGAAAAUUGCACAACCCAGCUCCUAUGGGAUCCUCAAACAAGAGUGACAGGGACAAGACAGCUUUUAUGUGUCGGCUGGGGUCUGAGUCACAUUGCCAAGUCUUUGUGUAGCACGCGUCAUAUACAGACAUGAAUUAUGUGACUUUGACAGUGCCACCUUAAAACAUUAACAAAAUGCCACUUUAUGUAUAAAUUGGAAAUCACACAAAUGCCAGAAAAAGAAAACACUUUAACUCCUUAGGUACUGAACAAUUUCAAAGCUGCUGGGAUGAAAUGAAUUAAUGGAUGGAUGAAUGCUACUGCCACAAAGUAGCGCCACAGUACCUGGGAAACAAAUGACCAUAUUCUGUGUCCUUAUGGAGCAAAUCACACCGUAGGCGGGCUUUGGGAUGUAGCAACUGCUUUUUGUGACUAUUGAGCUGUUAUUUUGCCAUUUUCUGUAAACCACUUGUAAAAAGCUGUAACAGCAUCAUUCUAGAACCCACAAAGUAGAGAUGUUAGUGCUGAAAAAUACUCCCCCAAAACGAUACCUUUGGAGUGGCUGUUGGACAUGGUAAAACACCACGAAGACUGAACGACUGACGCGGCAGGUGGUGCUGUUCAUUUAGGAGAGUGUGGGUAGAAAUAAUGCUGCAAAGACACAAAAUAGAAUUGAAAAUAAGAACAUGGUAAGAUGGUUAUGUUUAUGAGUUGUGCAAGCACAUUUCAUUUCCUACUGUACAUUAAUUCCCAUGGGGAAAAGGGUACUGGAAUAUAAAAUUUUGGAUCAUGUUAAAUUUA